GACGAACGCUGGCGGCGUGCCUAAUACAUGCAAGUAGAACGCUGAAGCGAGGAGCUUGCUCUUCUUGGAUGAGUUGCGAACGGGUGAGUAACGCGUAGGUAACCUGCCUUGUAGCGGGGGAUAACUAUUGGAAACGAUAGCUAAUACCGCAUAACAAUGGGUGACACAUGUCACUUAUUUGAAAGGGGCAAUUGCUCCACCACAAGAUUGACCUGCGUUGUAUUGGCUAGUAGGUGAGGGAAUCGCUCACCUAGGCGACGAUACAUAGCCGAACUGGGAGGGGGGUCGGCCACACUGGGACUGGGACACGGCCCAGACUCCUACGGGAGGCAGCAGUAGGGAAUCUUCGGCAAUGGGGGCAAACCUGACCGAGCAACGCCGGGUGAGUGAAGAAGGGUUUCGGAUCGUAAAGCUCUGUUGUAAGUCAAGAACGGGUGUGAGAGUGGAAAGUUCACACUGUGACGGUAGCUUACCAGAAAGGGACGGCUAACUACGUG
rnacentral:rRNA from 1 species